UGGCCGUCUCGCAAGAUUUCUUUUGAAUCAAUUUCUUGUACCAUAUACAUUCCUAAUUAGAUAAUCAUAUCCAUUUUUUGCAAUAUCGUUGAUACGGCGAGACCUUUUAGGUGCAUUAGGAAGAAGGUGCCAAUGAAGACAUUUGUGAUAUUUUUCCUAAUCAUGAAUAAUUGGUAAACGGCAAAACUCAUCAGAAAUUUCUGGGCGAAUAGCUUUGCAAUAGAGUUACCUUCUCUAACAUUAAGAAUUUACCCAAAAUGUUGAACUGAAUGAUAAUGGUUUGAAGAUUUGACGCCCACCAAUGGAAUUAUGUAUGUCUUAUUUUUACUACUUUUUGCUACUCAGUCCAGAAGUCGCAGUUGGUACAAUUCUCGUGUGCAACAUAGAGCAGGAAGCCGAGAAAAUGUAAUCACUUGGCCAGGAAACAGUUCUCCGAAAACUGAACCAUUUUAUCAACCCUCCUGGACAUGCAGACAGUGUUUUCGUUGAAAGUGUCAGUAUCCCGUGAAUUUUGAAUCCGACAACAUGUCCUCUAACGUUGAUCACCCUGAUCCCGAAAAAGUGAAGGAGAUCACUGGCAUCGAACCCGCCGAGUGUCCCGGACGAGAUGAGACACUCUCAGCGAUCCAAAACCAUAAACGAGAUUCCCUGAAAAAGAUUGUGACAGUGGAAAAGAACAGUUUGCCGGACAAAUCUCAGAUUGAGGCUGAGAAACGGGCCUCCGUCUCGGACGAAUGAUAUGAUUUCCAUUAUCGUACACAUUUUCGACUUUACGUGAUUUUCCUUGUGGGAAUAUAACAAAAUGAAUGAACGGCAUAA